CAUGCCAUUUAAGUCCUGUCUCAGAGUUCAGGCUGUUAAUUGUUGGUUAAUUGCAAUGGAUCUUUCUAUUUUACUAAUGUACGUGGGUCCAACUUGUGGAAAAAAGAAAAAUAGAAAAUUGUAUGGGAUUGCUUCAAAUUUAGACCCUUUCUUAUUGCAUGCGUGGUUAUAUGUGGGUUGUUAAGUGACUUUGCAUUUUUUUUCGUCUACUGAUGAUAAGGGAGGCAAGAUGCCACCCUGUAUUUUAUUACUGAAAGAGAGUGACUAUGCAAAUGUAGGUGCCUCUGUUUUGUCAUUCUCUGCUUAUGACUGCUACCAUUUAACUCUUCUAAGUUCUUAUAGUGAAUCUGGUUAGAAAAUCAUGCAUUUUAUUUGUGUAGAUUCUUAGGAGAUAAAACUUGAAACAUGAUCUCUGUUUUAGUAUUUUUAAUCAAUCUCCAUUUUACUCAGAUUAGAUAGUACAAUCCAAAUGAGCAUAGCAGUUGAAUAAUUUCUCUAUUUCAAAGAUCAAGGUUCCUCACAGUCAGGUUCAAUGCAAUUGUCCCCUAUUAGCGGAGUACCCCUCUUCUUGAUUAGGGUUUGAGGACAGCAAUGGCUUGAUGAACCGCUCCAUUCACCCUGUGUUGACCGUGAAGUUUGCUUAAAGUUAGAUUGGAAAAAGAGAGUAUCAAAAAGUUAAAUUCUGAUCUGAGUAGGCUCGAUAGAGGGAAUACCCCAACCCUGAGAAUUGGGGUCUGGUCUUCCCAUCCUAGUUGACAUUCUAGCAAAGUUUGUCUUUUGAUAGCUGAUGAACCUGGGGAUCCCUUCCCUGUACCCAUAUGUGUUUCCAUAGAUCUUACAGUUGCAGGUUUGUUCGCAAGCAAAUCAUACCCAUAUUAUUUCUAAACUCAUUUUCUCAGUGAUUCUAAACAAAUCAUAUCCAUAUGUGUUUCCAUAGAAAGUCUGUGUAAUUUAAAAAUUCUCAUACAGGUUGGGAUAAUAUGUAACUGAAUACUGAAUAGUGAAUUCUUAUGAAUUUCUAUUUUAUUUAGUCUAAAAUAUAUUAUAUAUAUUCCCUCUAGUUGAGUUGAAAAUGAUUAAACCAAGAUAUUGAUAUUUAGUCUAUACUUUUUUAAUACUGACAUUCUCCUUCAAACCCAAUAUAUCUAUUAGUUUUGUUAAUUUUUUGGAAGAUGGAUUCUGAUCAAUUAAUUUAUCUAUGCAACCCAAUAACCAUGCUAUUUCAUGUUUGUGUCAAUUUAAGGUUAAUAAAGGAGUGGAAGCUACACUAGUUCAACUUUUUGAUACAGCCUAUUACAUGCUGAUCCUCAUCCCGGGAACUUGCGUUAUACACCUGAAGGAUGUAUUGGGUUUCUUGAUUUUGGUUUGCUUUGUCGGAUGGAGAAGAAACAUCAGCUUGCUAUGCUUGCUUUCAUAAUGCACAUAGUAAAUGGAGACUGGGGUGCGCUUGUUUAUGAUUCGACUGAGAUGGAUAUUGUUAGGCCCGGAACCAAUCUACGUCGUGUGAAAAUGGAUUUGGAAGAGGCCUUGGAUGAGGUAGUCUUCAAUGAUGGAAUACCUGACAUCAAGUUUAGUAGGGUUCUAGGUAAAAUUUGGUCCAUAGCACUUAAGUAUCAAUUCCGUAUGCCACCAUAUUAUACAUUGGUCUUGUGCUCUCUAGCUUCCCUGGAAGGAUUGGCACUGGCUGCAGAUCAAAAUUUUAAGACAUUUCAAUCUGCAUACCCUUAUGUUGUCCAGAAACUUCUUUAUGAUAAUUCAGCUUCUACAAGGAGAAUGUUAUACUCGGUUGUCUUCAACAAAAGGAGGGAAUUCCAGUGGAAAUUUUUUUUGCUGUUUCUGAGAAUAGGUUCAAUGAGAAAUGGUACAAAUGUGCAUAACGUGUUAGUCACCUGCAAAUCCUUUGCAUACAGUCAAAAUGUACGAGAGGGGGUCUUUGAAGUUGCAAAAUCUAGUCUUGCAGCUCUUACCAUCAAAGGAUGGUAUCAUCCUAAGAAUUCUGAUGACUGCGAAAUGGUACAAAUGUGCAUAACAUGUUACUCACCUGCAAAUCCUCUGCAUACAGUCAAAAUGUUCGAGAGGGGGUCUUUGAAGUUGCAAAUCUAAUCUUGCAGCUCUUACCAUCAAAGGAUGGUAUCGUCCUAAGAAGACUUCUGAUGACUGCGGAUGCAACAUCCUUAACUGGAGCAAUGAUUUCUAAAGAUGCAACCUUCAUCCGUCAACAUCUUAGCUGGGCUAUUGCUGAUAUAAUCUGCCACUGGAUGAUUAAGGCUGUUGGAUGGAAUGAAGCACUAGGCCAGCAUAAUCAUCAAGUGAUUGUGGUGAAAGGACAGCAAGAGAGGCAAAUGGACCUACCACCUGCACCUUCUACAUAUGUCUUGCAGAAAGUCCUAAGUGACCGCCGGAUGAAAGUAAUAUUUUACAAGGUGCUGCACGAUGUAAGAGGAGAUCCCAUAUUGAUGCUCAGGUUGUCUUGGAGUUCCUUCACAA